UCCCAUUUUCGCAAAUUUUUUGACAUGCAAAAAAAACUGGAUAUACGGUAUGUUACAACAUGGAGGUGUCUCGUACCACCUUAAAAAAAAUGUGGAAGGAAGAAUAUUUUUUCAUUAACCUGCAGUUUUAACCUCAGUCUGACUUACUGAGAGCAAUACAUGUUGGUUUAUGGAUGUUCUUACAUCUAUCAUUAUAUAUUUCUUCCAGGUUUUUAGCUUUGUAUAAAGGACUGCUACCAAAAGUACUGAGAUUAGGCCCAGGAGGAGCAAUCAUGUUGCUGGUCAAUGAAUACGCUUUUAAAUGGAUGAAGGAGAAUAUGUGAUAUUUAGAUCAACACAUAAACUAUAAAUACUUUUAUAAGUGAUUAUAUGAUAAUAAAAAAAAAACCAACUAUAUGUGCCAAAUAUUUAUACAAUAAUUGUGCAUGCAUUUGUUGACAAACAUUUUAAUUCAAACUAUGCCGUCUAAAAUGUGUAUAUUGGAUAUUUGAUUAUUGCUGGAUUUUUGUAUAUUUCAAAGAUGACCAGGUAUUUUCCAUUUUAUUUAUCAGUGCUACUUUUUUAUUCAUUGUCUCAAGAUGAUAUUUUGAUUAUAAACAUUAAAAGUAUUCACUAUA